rnacentral:lncRNA from 1 species
UAUACUAUACUAUACAAACAUUCAAAUGUAACAACCAAAUAAUAUCUAUUCAAAAAUGUUAUUUGAACAUCAAUUUUUGACACUUAAAUUCGACAACAUUUAAAUGGUUAACGUAGUUUACACGUAUGGUUAAUGAAAUGUUAGAUUUGGUUAAUAAAUAUAUCAUAUGUCGCAACUCAUUAACUUCAUCAACCACAAAUUUGAACGCGAUUAACCAUGAGUUUCAAGUAUUCAAAUCUGCAUGUAGUUGAAACACCUGAAAUUGUGAUUAAUAACAUUCAAAUUUUGUGGCUAAUAAUUUUCAGUCGAUGAUUAACGAGUUAUCCAAUAACCACUCAUUGCACUAUGUUAACCACUUGUGUGAAACGUGUUAAUCAUUUAAAAUGUUGUCGAAUUUUAGAGUCACGGAUCGAUGUUCAAAUAAAAUUUCUAUAUCUAUCUUCGGUGUUGUAUUGUGCGACAUAAAGCUCUUGCUUACCAUUCUUAACUUCUUUGAUUUUGUAUUCAUGGAACUUUUUAGGGUCUUUAGAGUAUCCCAAAGGAUCAAAAGCACCACCAGGGUAUUUCUUCUUUUCAGGGUCUUUCUCCAUACUCCUUUGGUGCUCAACAAAAGCAAUAGAAAGGAACUCAAUGACCAAAAUGGUGGGUAGGGUGCCCCAUGGAACAGGGUUGCCUAGGUAGGUUGCUUGUCCUCCAGGAAGUGCAGCCCAUUCUUGUGCUUUCACCCAGUUGCCUAAUCCCAAUGCCUCUGGUACCAAAAUCCCUGGCUGCAUGCAUAAUGUGACAAAUUUUAGUAAAUUUUAAUGAAAUGCACUGUCAGUGUAAAAUAGUUUUACAACAAUAUUCGACGAAAACUCGUCACAUUGCCACAUAAACCUAGGUAGGUUUAAACGGUCAAUGGUUGUUGGAUCGAGAUCAAACAGUCUAGAUUUCAAACGGUCCAUCAGAUAGGCCGAUUUAGACCGUUUGAUCUAGACCGUUUCAAACGGUGUAGAUAUUUUCUCGAUCCAACAACCAUUGAUGGGCCGAUUCCAUUAAACCUACCUAAUAUCGAUAUUGAAAACAACUAUGAAGUACAGGAUUCUCAUUGAACAUCCGUGUAAAACUAGUAUACACUGACAGUACAUAUCUCAUUUUUGCGUACAAUCAACUAAUCAGAACCGUUAAAUCAAGACCGGACGGUUUCACGGCUACUAGUUAUAAUACCAAGAGAAAACUAAACUUAUUUUCUUGAAAAGAGAGAUACUUACAACAGCAAGCAUGGCCCAUCUGCAGUGAAUGAGUUCAGACUCUUUGAAUCUCUCAAGAUUCUCAGGUACUUCACCAAGACGUAGAGGAUCAAACCCAAAGUCACUGUAACACAAAACCAUAACAAUAUUCAUACACUAAAUCAUAAUCACAAAACAAAAAAAGAUAAUUUACCUUUAAUUCUUAAAAAUUAUUUUGUAAAUAACUUAAGCUCCCCUAAUAUGAGGAGAGGUGACUAAAAUUUUCUUAGUCAAUUUUCCGCAUUCAUGGAAUCGGCCCAUCAAUAGCCGUUGGAUCGAGAUCAGACUGUCCAUAUUUCAAUAUCAAUAUUAUAGUUUAAAAAAAGAAGUCAAAAUCUACAUUAAAAUAAGGAUUGCUGAUUUUGAUCGAAC